rnacentral:rRNA from 1 species
GACGAACGCUGGCGGCGUGCUUAACACAUGCAAGUCGAACGGAAAGGCCCUGCUUUUGUGGGGUGCUCGAGUGGCGAACGGGUGAGUAACACGUGAGUAACCUGCCCUUGACUUUGGGAUAACUUCAGGAAACUGGGGCUAAUACCGGAUAGGAGCUCCUGCUGCAUGGUGGGGGUUGGAAAGUUUCGGCGGUUGGGGAUGGACUCGCGGCUUAUCAGCUUGUUGGUGGGGUAGUGGCUUACCAAGGCUUUGACGGGUAGCCGGCCUGAGAGGGUGACCGGCCACAUUGGGACUGAGAUACGGCCCAGACUCCUACGGGAGGCAGCAGUGGGGAAUAUUGCACAAUGGGCGGAAGCCUGAUGCAGCAACGCCGCGUGCGGGAUGACGGCCUUCGGGUUGUAAACCGCUUUCGCCUGUGACGAAGCGUGAGUGACGGUAAUGGGUAAAGAAGCACCGGCUAACUACGUGCCAGCAGCCGCGGUGAUACGUAGGGUGCGAGCGUUGUCCGGAUUUAUUGGGCGUAAAGGGCUCGUAGGUGGUUGAUCGCGUCGGAAGUGUAAUCUUGGGGCUUAACCCUGAGCGUGCUUUCGAUACGGGUUGACUUGAGGAAGGUAGGGGAGAAUGGAAUUCCUGGUGGAGCGGUGGAAUGCGCAGAUAUCAGGAGGAACACCAGUGGCGAAGGCGGUUCUCUGGGCCUUUCCUGACGCUGAGGAGCAAAAGCGUGGGGAGCGAACAGGCUUAGAUACCCUGGUAGUCCGCGCUGUAAACGGUGGGUACUAGGUGUGGGGUCCAUUCCACGGGUUCCGUGCCGUAGCUAACGCUUUAAGUACCCCGCCUGGGGAGUACGGCCGCAAGGCUAAAACUCAAAGGAAUUGACGGGGCCCCGCACAAGCGGCGGAGCAUGCGGAUUAAUUCGAUGCAACGCGUAGAACCUUACCUGGGUUUGACAUGGAUCGGGAGUGCUCAGAGAUGGGUGUGCCUCUUUUGGGGUCGGUUCACAGGUGGUGCAUGGCUGUCGUCAGCUCGUGUCGUGAGAUGUUGGGUUAAGUCCCGCAACGAGCGCAACCCUUGUUCACUGUUGCCAGCACGUUAUGGUGGGGACUCAGUGGAGACCGCCGGGGUCAACUCGGAGGAAGGUGGGGAUGACGUCAAGUCAUCAUGCCCCUUAUGUCCAGGGCUUCACGCAUGCUACAAUGGCUGGUACAGAGAGUGGCGAGCCUGUGAGGGUGAGCGAAUCUCGGAAAGCCGGUCUCAGUUCGGAUUGGGGUCUGCAACUCGACCUCAUGAAGUCGGAGUCGCUAGUAAUCGCAGAUCAGCAACGCUGCGGUGAAUACGUUCCCGGGGCU